AAUUAAAACAAAGCAUUGCGAUGGCCGCUGGUCGGUGUUGACGCAAUGUGAUUUCUGCCCAGUGCUCUGAAUGUCAACGUGAAGAGAGUAACUGUGAGGCGGGGGUAAACGGCGGGAGUAACUAUGACUCUCUUGUGCCUUGUCGGGUACGAGAGGGUU
rnacentral:ncRNA from 1 species